rnacentral:tRNA from 1 species
GGUAGUGUGGCCGAGUGGUCUAAGGCGCUGGAUUUAGGCUCAGUCUCUCAGGAGGCGUGGGUUCAAAUCCACCACUGCCA